GAUGAACGCUGGCGGCGUGCCUAAUACAUGCAAGUCGAGCGAACAGACGAGGAGCUUGCUCCUCUGACGUUAGCGGCGGACGGGUGAGUAACACGUGGAUAACCUACCUAUAAGACUGGGAUAACUUCGGGAAACCGGAGCUAAUACCGGAUAAUAUAUUGAACCGCAUGGUUCAAUAGUGAAAGACGGUUUUGCUGUCACUUAUAGAUGGAUCCGCGCCGCAUAAGCUAGUUGGUAAGGUAACGGCUUACCAAGGCAACGAUGCGUAGCCGACCUGAGAGGGUGAUCGGCCAGACUGGAACUGAGACACGGUCCAGACUCCUACGGGAGGCAGAAGUGGGGAAUCUUCCGCAAUGGGCGAAAGCCUGACGGAGCAACGCCGCGGGAGUGAUGAAGGUCUUCGGAUCGUAAAACUCUGUUAUUAGGGAAGAACAAAUGUGUAAGUAACUAUGCACGUCUUGACGGUACCUAAUCAGAAAGCCACGGCUAACUACGUG
rnacentral:rRNA from 1 species